UUGUCUACUCAUUAGAGCGACUUGGUUUGUGCCUCUACCAUUGGAGACUCAGGCAGAAGCCUCCUAUGAACAAGAAGCUAUCUAUCAGUAUGAGAAUGAGGAGGAUGACGAUCUGGAUGAUGAAGCUUACUUUGGAAGCUCCUCAAGCCUUCGUAUCGGUAGCUAUACUUUCAGACAACCAAACAAGCUAUAGUUGUUCAUCAACCAAGCAAAAGUCAUACCCAAAUCUUACGUUGUGACUUUGUAUUAUUUGUGGAACCUAGUGUUGUGUAAUAGUUUGAUUGAGUUUGUUUUGAAAACUUUAAAUAGACUGUUGUUAACUAUUUUGUUGGUAUUGUGGCUUUCAUGAUUGAUUGUUUCA